AUUGAACGCUGGCGGCAGGCCUAACACAUGCAAGUCGAGCGGAGCGGCGGACGGGUGAGUAAUGCCUAGGAAUCUGCCUGGUAGUGGGGGAUACCUCCGGGAACGGGCCCCAAAUCCCGCAUCGCUUUAGAUGAGCCUAGGGCGGAUUAGCUAGUUGGUGGGGUAAAGGCCUACCAAGGGGACGAACCGUAACUGGUCUGAGAGGAUGGUCAGUCACACUGGAACUGAGACACGGUCCAGACUCCUACGGGAGGCAGCAGUGGGGAAUAUUGGACAAUGGGCGAAAGCCUGAUCCAGCCAUGCCGCGUGUGUGAAGAAGGUCUUCGGAUUGUAAAGCACUUUAAGUUGGGAGGCGUUACCAACAGAAUAAGCACCGGCUAACUUCGUGCCAGCAGCCGCGGUAAUAC
rnacentral:rRNA from 1 species